rnacentral:rRNA from 1 species
AGCUCCAAUAGCGUAUAUUAAAGUUGUUGCAGUUAAAAAGCUCGUAGUUGGAUUUCUGGUUCGAAUGUCCGGUCCGCUUGUGACUUGUUUGCGAGUGCGUACUAUGGAUGUUUGGGCCAUUUUUUGUGAGGAAAUUUACCUGUCAUUAAGUUGAUGGGUUUAUAGACUUGCAUCGUUUACUGUGAAAAAAUUAGAGUGUUUAAAGCAGGCGUUUGCUUAUUUGAAUACAUUAGCAUGGAAUAAUAAGAUACGACUUUGGUGGUCUAUUUUGUUGGUUUGCACGCCAGAGUAAUGAUUAAUAGGGACAGUUGGGGGUAUUCAUAUUUCAGCGUCAGAGGUGAAAUUCUUGGAUCGCUGAAAGAUGAGCUUAGGCGAAAGCAUUUACCAAGGAUGUUUUCAU